rnacentral:rRNA from 1 species
UACGUAGGGAGCAAGCGUUGUCCGGAUUUAUUGGGCGUAAAGAGCUCGUAGGCGGCUUAGCAAGUCAGGUGUGAAAACUCUGGGCUUAACCCAGAGACGCCACUUGAUACUUCUAUGGCUUGAGUUCGGUAGGGGACCAUGGAAUUCCUGGUGUAGCGGUGAAAUGCGCAGAUAUCAGGAGGAACACCGAUGGCGAAGGCAGUGGUCUGGGCCGAUACUGACGCUGAGGAGCGAAAGCGUGGGGAGCGAACAGG